GUUUGUGUUCGAAAGACCACCGUUACCACGGCAACACAAGAGAAACAGCCAGCUUAGAGCCGCCCGGCGAGACUGUUUUCAGACUGAAAAUAGAUCCAGCUGGGUUUGGUCUGGCCACCAUCGGCUUCACCACUUUGACCAAAAUAAAGGGACAAGAUCGACGCCUGGCGACCGUUAACCGGAGGAUUUACCGCCGUUUUUUGGUGUCUCAACAGCCUUCAUAUACUUAAAAAAAAAUCUUAUUUAGCCUAGGCUAUAUAUUUUUGUUUUUCUUCCCGACCGAAGUGAUGUCUGUCGCGGGGUUGAAGAAGCAGUUCCAUAAAGCCACCCAGGUAAGGAGAGACCGUGCAGUCUGUCUGUUUAUGUCUGUGUUGGCUGUCUCAUUCCCAUUUCAUACAUAAUCUCUUCUUCUGAUGCUUCAUUUCGCGGGGAAACCGUUAGAUUGAUGGCGCAUGAUGUGAAGUAAACAUUGCAUUUUUCUUGUGAUCCAUUAACAAUUUUUAAAUGCACUAAUAUCACUAGAAAACGUGAUUUUAUCUUUAAUAAACGCAUUAAAUUCUG